AACGAACGCUGGCGGCAUGCCUAACACAUGCAAGUCGAACGAGACCUUCGGGUCUAGUGGCGCACGGGUGCGUAACGCGUGGGAAUUUGCCCUUGGGUUCGGAAUAACAGUUAGAAAUGACUGCUAAUACCGGAUGAUGACUUCGGUCCAAAGAUUUAUCGCCCAAGGAUGAGCCCGCGUAGGAUUAGCUAGUUGGUGAGGUAAAGGCUCACCAAGGCGACGAUCCUUAGCUGGUCUGAGAGGAUGAUCAGCCACACUGGGACUGAGACACGGCCCAGACUCCUACGGGAGGCAGCAGUGGGGAAUAUUGGACAAUGGGCGAAAGCCUGAUCCAGCAAUGCCGCGUGAGUGAUGAAGGCCCUAGGGUUGUAAAGCUCUUUUACCCGGGAUGAUAAUGACAGUACCGGGAGAAUAAGCCCCGGCUAACUCCGUGCCAGCAGCCGCAGUAAUAC
rnacentral:rRNA from 1 species